UACUGUGAUCUCUUACAUUACAUCAUAGUACAAUUGUCAUGUCCACCAUCUAAUUAUUACAUACACAUACUUCAAAACUCUGGCUAACCUCCUGGUCUACCCUGUACCUGCACAUCUGGGGUUAGGGGAGAGGGGUGAGCUACAAAGCCCAGUGAGCAGAAUAGUGAAAUCAUACAUUAAAAUUUCAUGCCAUUAUGUAAUGCAACACAUCACAACUAAUCACAUCUCGGAUGGUAUUGUCACUAUUAGUCCUCUACAUAGUCCAACUGUGCCGGGACGUAGAAUGGGUACAACCGGUCUUUUCCUUAUCAUAACAUAUCAUAACAUACCAAUGUGCCAGGGACGUAGAAUGGGUACAACCUGGACUUCCAUACCAUAUCAUGCCGUAACAUCAUCAUGCCAUAUGAGGACUAAAGGAUCAUCCAAUAACCAAUCCACAUCAACAUUAUAAAUGCAAUGCAACACAUUCGUGAAUACUAAUGCAAACAACCUACUAUAUCUCAUGGCAUUCGUGAUGCAUGGAUCAUGCUCGAAAUUCAUAUUUCAAUUAUUUUAAAACUUAAAGUUUAUUCCACUCACCUCUGGCGAGCUCUGAUAAACUCUGUAGCAGCUGGCUCACUGCUGGGGUCCUCGGUUCCUCGGGUCCGAACCUACACAGGUGGACUUCAAUGAGGGACCAAACAUACAU
rnacentral:lncRNA from 1 species